rnacentral:rRNA from 1 species
GACGAACGCUGGCGGCGUGCUUAACACAUGCAAGUCGAACGGAAAGGCCCUGCUUUUGUGGGGUGCUCGAGUGGCGAACGGGUGAGUAACACGUGAGUAACCUGCCCUUGACUUUGGGAUAACUUCAGGAAACUGGGGCUAAUACCGGAUAGGAGCUCCUGCUGCAUGGUGGGGGUUGGAUAGUUUCGGCGGUUGGGGAUGGACUCGCGGCUUAUCAGCUUGUUGGUGGGGUAGUGGCUUACCAAGGCUUUGACGGGUAGCCGGCCUGAGAGGGUGACCGGCCACAUUGGGACUGAGAUACGGCCCAGACUCCUACGGGAGGCAGCGGUGGGGAAUAUUGCACAGUGGGCGGAAGCCUGAUGCAGCACCGCCGCGUGCGGGAUGACGGCCUUCGGGUUGUAAACCGCUUUCGCCUGUGACGAAGCGUGAGUGACGGUAAUGGGUAAAGAAGCACCGGCUAACUACGUG